AAUACAAAUAGAAUGAUUGUGGGAGUUAUAGAAGACCUGUUCCAAAUUUGUGAAAUGUUACUUCCUGAGUUCUGACUAGCAAACAUCAUAUUUGAGACCAGAGCCAGCCAUCACAACCACACAAUAUGCAAGUUUUUCUUGUGCAGUUGUUGAACUGUGACCAGCAACAAUCUCAGGAUCAUUGCUUGGAUGAAAAGCAUCCCAUUGCAUUGGAAAACUACUCACGUCAAUCGAGUUUCGGAUCUCUUUUUUUCCCCUUUCUUUAAAUGUCCUCGUGUAUGCCCAUGUGAAUGUGGGUGUAUUCACGAGGACACCCUUUUUUACCCUAUCCCGUCUGGUGUCAUUUAACUCUUCAGAGGAUGGAUGGAGCACUUGUGGAAUGCCUGGCUGUAUUUCCCAGGCAUAAAGGUAGGACAACAUUGAUCUCUAGUCUUCCUUUGUGACAAUUUUUGGUGGCGUUGGUUAUUACUCGUGUCAUAGUACGGAGUAAGAUUUUUGCUGAGCUAUGCGACUGACUGGGACUGUUUUCUCUUAGCGUUUUUGUAGGGACGAAAUUGAUCUCUAUUUUUCCUAUACGACAAUUUUUGGUGGCGUUAAUUAUAAACCGUUACGUAGUCACGAAGUAUGUUGAUUCCUUAAAGCUAGGCGGUUGACUGCCACUGUUUUCUCUCUCCGUUUUUGUUUAUUUCUCAGAAUCUCAUUUGUCGAACGACUGCAGAUCAGGCUUGUUUUGUUUUUUACCUCACUACUUUUCCUGUGGGUAAACCAUCCCAUUCGAAAAUAAUUGAACUUUCAAACACUUCAAGCAAAGUGCAACAACAUAAUUUUUUGACCCAUAAGAGGGAUCUGCCGCCACACCGGCACCUCCUCGUUAUUUGGUCUUAUUGCUGAGAGAUGUUCGUCUAGGUCGGCAUCGCUGAUCUAAUGUCGAGGGGAUAAAUCGAGUCUCCACGGGCAGACGAGUUAGUCCGUAUAGACUUGGGUGAUGUGUGUUUGUGUGUACUAUCACUGGUCGUCAAGUUCUCCCCUUUUUUUCUUUCCUGAUGGAUGAGAUUCUUCUAUUAUUAUCGGACUAAAAGGACUGAAAGAACCUUCGACGGAGAAUGUCAACUAUGCCGGGGGGAAAAGAAAGGGGAGAAAAUAAGAUCGGGGUUCGUUCAGUCUCGACCUUAGCGACGCAUGUAUUGGUAUAGGGGCAGCAGCCAGUGCCACUGCCUUUAAACGUCAAUUAAAAAGGAAGGAAUUUUUCUCAUCGAACGACAAAGGUCCGUAUUAUAUGCAAAGCGAAGAGAAGGAAGACUAGAAAUUAGGAGAUAUAGGUCGCACACAGCUCACUGAUCGGUCGCCGCUGGUCUGCGGCAAAAGAAUGCUGCAGUUCCGUUCCAUAAAUUUCGAGAAGCGAUGAGCUCGUUUGUCACGAACUGAAUUUUUGACAAAGAUUAGGCCUAUACGGGGACAGCUGUCCAGACACAAUCUUGAUACAAGGUAAAUAUACGGAUCUAAAUGCCGUCCGAUGUCUGAUGGUACAUUCCUUUUGUGAAGGGAAAUCUAUUGGGCCCGCCGAAAAGGCAAACCACAUCUCAAUCUGUUCCACAAGAUGCCCAGCAGAGAGAUGAUCCCCAAUAACACAAGCAAGAAUCCAGGCGGCGACACAGAGAGCAGUCCACUUUUUCGGUCCUUCUUCUUCAUGGCGACGACU